AGGAGCCGUGUGAAAAGAAAUUUUCAUGCACGGUUCUGAAGCCGAGUCAAAGAGGCGACUUUUUGGCUUAGGUUAACAAACUACCCUCAC
rfam:Cyanothece sp. PCC 7822 plasmid Cy782205, complete sequence.